AUACGUAGGGGGCGAGCGUUGUCCGGAAUGAUUGGGCGUAAAGGGCGCGUAGGCGGCCCGGUAAGUCUGGAGUGAAAGUCCUGUUUUUAAGAUGGGAAUUGCUUUGGAUACUGUCGGGCUUGAGUGCAGGAGAGGUAAGUGGAAUUCCCAGUGUAGCGGUGAAAUGCGUAGAGAUUGGGAGGAACACCAGUGGCGAAGGCGACUUACUGGACUGUAACUGACGCUGGGGCGCGAAAGUGUGGGGAGCAAACAGGAUUAGAUACCCUGGUAGUCCACACUGUAAACGAUGAAUGCUAGGUGUAGGGGGUAUCGACCCCUUCUGUGCCGCAGUCAACACAAUAAGCAUUCCGCCUGGGGAGUACGGCCGCAAGGUUGAAACUCAAAUGAAUUGACGGGG
rnacentral:rRNA from 1 species